CAAGGGACCAGAUGCCAACCAGAGAGAUCUAGACAGGCUGAACAGUGGGCACAGAUGAACCUUGUGAGGUUCAGUAAAUCCAAGUGAAGGUCUUGAACUUUGAUCGUGGCAACUCUUACUAUCUAUUCAAGUUGGGGGAUGUAAGGAUAGAACAUGAUGGUGCAUGGAAUGGGACCACUUUGAUGAAAAAGAAGCUGUAAAGAUACAGAAAUUCAAGAGAAUCAAUAUUCAGGUCUUAUGCCAUUACUGCAUACCUCAGUGACUUCUGGAAGAAAAGUAAUUGAAAGUAUAUUUCUAGUCUUUCCAUUGGAUUUGCAGAAGUAGAAUUGCUGCAAAUAAAAGAAUGGUCUCACAAAAAUGGCUACAUUGGUAAUGUUAAGCUAUAAGCCAGUGACGUUCUAACUCUACUUGCCAAAAUACAAACCACUGUGUCACCCAGAGACCACAAGCAUGAGGAGUCUUGGAAAUUAGAUUAACAGAAUAUUGGUCAGAAGGUCCAUUCUGUGACUCUGCAAGUUUACUCUCGCACCAGGAUGUCACCCUGCCAGGAUCAUCUCCCUGUUGUCUCAGCUUGACUUUUUAUGGGGAAAAGAACUACUGCCUAAUAAAGUAAUGCCAGCAUAUUGGAACCAUCCUGAAGAUCAGAAAAGUUGUGGAAGAGAUCAAAUGGAGAAGUGGUCUUAGAAUGGAAAACUGAAGGAAAAAAGAAAUACCGGUUAGACUUAACAAAAUUAAUACUGAAAAAGUCCUCAUAACAUUACAAAAUAACCUCACUACUAUACAGUAGUAUAGGGUUAUAGUAGUAAAAACAAAACAAAACAAAACACACACACAAAAGAAAGGCAGAGAAAAACAAUGCAGCUGUAGCAGGUAUACUCAAAUUUUCAGCUGCUGUCACUGGCACAGCUGUACUACAUUCUUAUCAGAGACCUAAUUAUGACUCAUACAUUUCCAGAGGACAUGCAGUGGACUUUGGUGAACACAUAUCACUAGGAGCAAUACAAUACAAGUGCCUUCUGGCAUAAUGAUAGGGCACAUCUCUCAUAACAGUAUUAAUGGAAACUAGAUCAGUUCUAGAAACCAAUAUUCUCUCUGUUUUACCAUGCUUCUGUUUCUUACUACAUGAUAUUU